GCGUAGCAGGCGAGAAACUUUACAAUGUGCGAAAGCACGAUAAGGGAACUCUGAGUGCCUCCUAAGGAGGCUGUUCUGAUGUCUAAAAGCAACAGAAGUAAGGGCUGGGUAAGACCGGUGCCAGCCGCCGCGGUAACACCGGCAGCCCAAGUGGUAGCCACGUUUAUUGGGUCUAAAGCGUUCGUAGCCGGCCAGGUAAGUUCCUUGGUAAAUUUAGCCGCUUAACGGUUAAGCUUUCAGGGAAUACUGCUUGGCUUGGGACUGGGAGAGGUCAGAGGUACUCCGGGGGUAGGGGUGAAAUCUAUUAAUCCCUGGGGGACCACCGGUAGCGAAGGCGUCUGACCAGACCAGGUCCGACGGUGAGGGACGAAGGCUAGGGGCGCGAACAGGAUUAGAUACCCCCGUAGU
rnacentral:rRNA from 1 species